GAACUGAAGAGUUUGAUCCUGGCUCAGAUUGAACGCUAGCGGGAUGCCUUACACAUGCAAGUCGAACGGCAGCAUCAGAGAGCUUGCUCUCUGGAUGGCGAGUGGCGAACGGGUGAGUAAUGUAUCGGAACGUGCCCAGUAGCGGGGGAUAACUACGCGAAAGCGUAGCUAAUACCGCAUACGGCUACGGGGGAAAGGGGGGGAUCGCAAGACCUCUCACUAUUGGAGCGGCCGAUAUCGGAUUAGCUAGUUGGUGAGGUAACGGCUCACCAAGGCGACGAUCCGUAGCUGGUUUGAGAGGACGACCAGCCACACUGGGACUGAGACACGGCCCAGACUCCUACGGGAGGCAGCAGUGGGGAAUUUUGGACAAUGGGGGCAACCCUGAUCCAGCCAUCCCGCGUGUGCGAUGAAGGCCUUCGGGUUGUAAAGCACUUUUGUCAGGGAAGAAAAGUUCGAGGUUAAUACCUUCGGACGCUGA
rnacentral:ncRNA from 1 species